CGCUCGGUAGCUUAGUUGUUAAAGCAUUUAUCUAGCGUAUAAGGAUUGUGAGUUUAAAUUUCACCUGAGCUG
rnacentral:tRNA from 1 species